rnacentral:rRNA from 1 species
UGGGGAAUUUUGGACAAUGGGCGAAAGCCUGAUCCAGCCAUUCCGCGUGCAGGAUGAAGGCCCUCGGGUUGUAAACUGCUUUUGUACAGAACGAAAAAGCUCUUUCUAAUACAGAGAGUCCAUGACGGUACUGUAAGAAUAAGCACCGGCUAACUACGUGCCAGCAGCCGCGGUAAUACGUAGGGUGCAAGCGUUAAUCGGAAUUACUGGGCGUAAAGCGUGCGCAGGCGGUUUUGUAAGACAGAGGUGAAAUCCCCGGGCUCAACCUGGGAACUGCCUUUGUGACUGCAAGGCUGGAGUGCGGCAGAGGGGGAUGGAAUUCCGCGUGUAGCAGUGAAAUGCGUAGAUAUGCGGAGGAACACCGAUGGCGAAGGCAAUCCCCUGGGCCUGCACUGACGCUCAUGCACGAAAGCGUGGGGAGCAAACA